AGAGUUUGAUCAUGGCUCAGAUUGAACGCUGGCGGCAGGCCUAACACAUGCAAGUCGAACGGUAACAGGAAGUAGCUUGCUUCUUUGCUGACGAGUGGCGGACGGGUGAGUAAUGUCUGGGAAACUGCCUGAUGGAGGGGGAUAACUACUGGAAACGGUAGCUAAUACCGCAUAAUGUCGCAAGACCAAAGAGGGGGACCUUCGGGCCUCUUGCCAUCGGAUGUGCCCAGAUGGGAUUAGCUUGUUGGUGGGGUAACGGCUCACCUAGGCGACGAUCCCUAGCUGGUCUGAGAGGAUGACCAGCCACACUGGAACUGAGACACGGUCCAGACUCCUACGGGAGGCAGCAGUGGGGAAUAUUGCACAAUGGGCGCAAGCCUGAUGCAGCCAUGCCGCGUGUAUGAAGAAGGCCUUCGGGUUGUAAAGUACUUUCAGCGGGGAGGAAGGGAGUAAAGUUAAUACCUUUGCUCAUUGACGUUACCCGCAGAAGAAGCACCGGCUAACUCCGUGCCAGCAGCCGCGGUAAUACGGAGGGUGCAAGCGUUAAUCGGAAUUACUGGGCGUAAAGCGCACGCAGGCGGUUUGUUAAGUCAGAUGUGAAAUCCCCGGGCUCAACCUGGGAACUGCAUCUGAUACUGGCAAGCUUGAGUCUCGUAGAGGGGGGUAGAAUUCCAGGUGUAGCGGUGAAAUGCGUAGAGAUCUGGAGGAAUACCGGUGGCGAAGGCGGCCCCCUGGACGAAGACUGACGCUCAGGUGCGAAAGCGUGGGGAGCAAACAGGAUUAGAUACCCUGGUAGUCCACGCCGUAAACGAUGUCGACUUGGAGGUUGUGCCCUUGAGGCGUGGCUUCCGGAGCUAACGCGUUAAGUCGACCGCCUGGGGAGUACGGCCGCAAGGUUAAAACUCAAAUGAAUUGACGGGGGCCCGCACAAGCGGUGGAGCAUGUGGUUUAAUUCGAUGCAACGCGAAGAACCUUACCUGGUCUUGACAUCCACGGAAGUUUUCAGAGAUGAGAAUGUGCCUUCGGGAACCGUGAGACAGGUGCUGCAUGGCUGUCGUCAGCUCGUGUUGUGAAAUGUUGGGUUAAGUCCCGCAACGAGCGCAACCCUUAUCCUUUGUUGCCAGCGGUCCGGCCGGGAACUCAAAGGAGACUGCCAGUGAUAAACUGGAGGAAGGUGGGGAUGACGUCAAGUCAUCAUGGCCCUUACGACCAGGGCUACACACGUGCUACAAUGGCGCAUACAAAGAGAAGCGACCUCGCGAGAGCAAGCGGACCUCAUAAAGUGCGUCGUAGUCCGGAUUGGAGUCUGCAACUCGACUCCAUGAAGUCGGAAUCGCUAGUAAUCGUGGAUCAGAAUGCCACGGUGAAUACGUUCCCGGGCCUUGUACACACCGCCCGUCACACCAUGGGAGUGGGUUGCAAAAGAAGUAGGUAGCUUAACCUUCGGGAGGGCGCUUACCACUUUGUGAUUCAUGACUGGGGUGAAGUCGUAACAAGGUAACCGUAGGGGAACCUGCGGUUG
rnacentral:rRNA from 1 species